UGUAUAUUUUCCUCAGUCCUUGUCCCUGCCACAACAAAGAACUGAAGGGCAGAAACACAGGAGUGAAGCAGAGUAAAUGUUUCAUUUGAAGUUACUUAAAGAGAGAAAAAUGUGCAGCAGGCACCCUCAGGGAGGAGAGAUGUCCUGAAAGGUUGGAGAGAGAAAGUUUAAGAUUAAAAGGUUACGCACUGAAAGGUUGGGAAAAGUUAAAGUUUUGCACUCAGAGAGUGUGGGUGACCUCAGAGAGAGGAGUGUGCAGAAAAGUUGGGGGUUUCCCUUUUUAAGGAUUUUUCAGGAAAAUAACAAAAGGCUGAGGGUGCAGACUCAUUAAGUGGUUCCUGAAUAUUUAAAAUUGACUUAACACAAGGAAUUUACUCCUCUGAUUUCUCCCUGAGAUAACUGGCAUCUUGGUCUGGGAGCAUAUCAAACAAGAACGCCUGCCUGGGCCCCCAAGGUGGGCUGAGUUACUGUCUGUUUGCUAAAGAGAUAGCAGCUUCCUGGUCUGGGAGGUAUCACUCAAGACUGACUGCUUUGUUCCCAAGGAUGAUUUCAUCUGGAACCAGGCUGUUCUGUCAUUGAUUGAAACUGGCUUUCUGGAGCAUUGUGCUGUGCCUCUGUGAUCUUGCUGGGCACCCCAUUCUGGAAGCUCAGUUCCCCUCCCGGUUGGCACACAGCUUCUCAUUUCCUCAGCCUUCUGUUCAUGAUUUAUGGAUCAGAUAGAGGAUGAUGUUGACUCCGUCUGGAAAGUGGGUCAGCCAGUUUUUGAGGAGACCUACUGGAGGCCUAGAAACAGUGCUCUGAACACAGACUCCAUUAGUUUAGAGACUGAUAGGGAAGGGAAAAUGGGACUGGCUCCUCAGUGGAAUCAAACUUCAGCCUGAAGUGGACUGUCCUCAAAAAUGAAGGCUCAUUAGAGUGUGAAUAACACAAAUAUCUAGUUGAAGGCAGUCACUGAAAACGCUUUCUGAUCUCAGAUACCUCCCCAAGAGGACUGAGUGCUGAAACUUUCCACAAGUAAGUUGUUGGCCAUUGGGCUAAGUCAGUCACAAAAGCUGACUGCACCACUGAGGAAGAGAAAUAUGCUGGUGCCCUAUUGGAACCUUUACACCGCUGUUUUGUCUGAUGCGUCAGCCAACAAAUUGCAAAGGGCGAGGGGGCUCAGGUAGCCCAUGAGGAUCAUACAUUUGGGGACAAGGCCACAGAAGCAAUGAAAACAGUGAUUUCUUCCCUUCCCUUCUGGCCGUCUCUCCUCUACUCCUGAAGAAGCAAGCCAGCAAGCCAGCCAGCCCCUCCCUUUUAACUAUCAGGUUCAGACACGCCCUUGGUUGCCCAGGUGAUGACCCAUUGACGUGGAGAUGAACUUCUCUCCACCUCUGAGGAUAUGCAAAUGGACUAAAGCCAGAAUGUUGUGGAGGGCCAGAUGUGAUGUCACCCCAGAAGUGACAUCACCAGAUCCGGGCACUGGGGAAUAAUAUCAACAGAAAGUGAUAUCACUGGAAGUGAGAUCACCAGAAACAGAAGUAACUGCACCAGAUAUGAGAUCAGUCCACAACUGACAUCAUUAUGAGCUUGUGUAUGUAAGUGGUGCUCUAAAAAUAAACUGUAUCACUUGUCCACCAUGCGUGAACAGUGAACCUCCUGAUCCCAA